UACGUAGGGAGCAAGCGUUAUCCGGAUUUAUUGGGUGUAAAGGGUGCGCAGACGGGAAGGCAAGUUGGUUGUGAAAUCCCUCGGCUUAACUGAGGAACUGCAACCAAAACUAUCUUUCUUGAGUGCUGGAGAGGAAAGUGGAAUUCCUAGUGUAGCGGUGAAAUGCGUAGAUAUUAGGAGGAACACCAGUGGCGAAGGCGACUUUCUGGACAGUAACUGACGUUGAGGCACGAAAGUGUGGGGAGCAAACAGG
rnacentral:rRNA from 1 species